rnacentral:rRNA from 1 species
UACGAAGGGGGCUAGCGUUGUUCGGAUUUACUGGGCGUAAAGCGCACGUAGGCGGAUUGUUAAGUCAGGGGUGAAAUCCUGGAGCUCAACUCCAGAACUGCCUUUGAUACUGGCGAUCUUGAGUCCGGGAGAGGUGAGUGGAACUGCGAGUGUAGAGGUGAAAUUCGUAGAUAUUCGCAAGAACACCAGUGGCGAAGGCGGCUCACUGGCCCGGUACUGACGCUGAGGUGCGAAAGCGUGGGAGCAACAGG